rnacentral:rRNA from 1 species
UACGUAGGGGGCAAGCGUUGUCCGGAUUUAUUGGGCGUAAAGAGCGUGUAGGCGGCCAGGUAGGUCCGGUGUGAAAACUCGAGGCUUAACCUCGAGAUGUCAUCGGAAACCAUCUGGCUAGAGUCCGGAAGAGGCGAGUGGAAUUCCUGGUGUAGCGGUGAAAUGCGCAGAUAUCAGGAGGAACACCAAUUGCGAAGGCAGCUCGCUGGGACGUUACUGACGCUGAGACGCGAAAGCGUGGGGAGCAAACAGG